UGGGGACAGCUGAGCUUCUCCUGAUCCCUUACCUGCAAUAGAGCACUAAUUAUAGUCGCAGGGAGGGGUCAGAGGGCGGGAGGAGGAGGAAAGCCAACAUCUGUGCAGAGGCCGUGGGAGCCAGGCCCGCUGCUGGUCCUGGUGACCCAGGAUGUCCUCGGGUCUGCGCCAGGUGACCCGGCUCUAGGAAAGGCUUUUUCUGCAGCUCCCAGGCCCGUGAUAGCUUCCUGGAGGUACAGCUUAUGAGAGCUGGAGACGCCGCACAAACAGCUCCCAAAUAUGGACCGCAGAUCGAGAGAGAGAGAAGGAGGAGAAGCAGAAGGAGAGGGAGAAGCAGACGCCCCGCUGAGCAGGGAGCCCGACGUGGGACUCGAUCCCAGGACCCUGGGAUCAUGAGCUGAGCCGGGGGCAGACGCUUCUCCCACGGAGCCCCCGAGCACCCCAGUCUUCUGUUUCCUAUUCGGUGCCUGCUUCCUGCCCGGUGGGAGCAGAUCACCCUGGAGGUGCCGGCGACGGGAUGAGACACGGCUCCGCCCUCCUAGUGUCUCGGCUCCGUCAGCGAUGGAUGGACUUUCACAAAAUACAUGUCCAGCUAAUUAGUAAUCUGACAAAAUUAUGCAAAUGGCCACGGUUUGGCCAGAACUUUUUUUUUGGCCAGAAAUUUUAUUUUUUUUCUGACUGGAUUUUUUUUCCUGCUAAACAUGGAAAUCGGUCACAGAUCAGUUCCAGGUUAUCGUGAAGCCCGAAUAAGCCUGUAUUUUUUUUUCCUAUUUGCUUUAAGGCGCAUCUCAGUGUGACCACACACCUCAAAGAAAUAAA